rnacentral:rRNA from 1 species
GACGAACGCUGGCGGCGUGCUUAACACAUGCAAGUCGAGCGGUAAGGCCUUUCGGGGUACACGAGCGGCGAACGGGUGAGUAACACGUGGGUGAUCUGCCCUGCACUUCGGGAUAAGCCUGGGAAACUGGGUCUAAUACCGGAUAUGACCUCCUAUCGCAUGGUGGGUGGUGGAAAGAUUUAUCGGUGCAGGAUGGGCCCGCGGCCUAUCAGCUUGUUGGUGGGGUAAUGGCCUACCAAGGCGACGACGGGUAGCCGACCUGAGAGGGUGACCGGCCACACUGGGACUGAGACACGGCCCAGACUCCUACGGGAGGCAGCAGUGGGGAAUAUUGAACAAUGGGCGAAAGCCUGAUGCAGCGACGCCGCGUGAGGGAUGACGGCCUUCGGGUUGUAAACCUCUUUCAGCAGGGACGAAGCGCAAGUGACGGUACCUGCAGAAGAAGCACCGGCUAACUACGUG